rnacentral:rRNA from 1 species
AGGAUGAACGCUGGCGGCGUGCCUAAUACAUGCAAGUCGAGCGGUAAGGCCUCUUCGGAGGUACACGAGAGGCGGACGGCUGAGUAACGCGUAGGAACGUACCCUAAAGUGAGGGAUAAGCAUCAGAAAUGGUGUCUAAUACCGCAUGUGCUCUUCGGAGUAAAGCUUCGGCGCUUUGGGAACGGCCUGCGUAUGAUUAGCUUGUUGGUGAGGUAAAAGCUCACCAAGGCGACGAUCAUUAGCUGGUCUGAGAGGAUGAUCAGCCACAUUGGGACUGAGACACGGCCCAAACUCCUACGGGAGGCAGCAGUGGGGAAUAUUGGACAAUGGGCGCAAGCCUGAUCCAGCCAUGCCGCGUGAGUGAUGACGGCCUUAGGGUUGUAAAGCUCUUUCGCUAGGGACGAUAAUGACGGUACCUAGACAAGAGCCCCGGCUAACUUCGUGCCAGCAGCCGC